UGGACAUGCCCAACACACUCUUUUUUUUCUACGACUGGAUCAUCAUCAUACGGGUUGAUAUCAAGAAUACCUUUAAAUGUCUUGGAGUCUCCAUCUCCAAUAUAUUUUAUGUACUUUACCCCGUGCUUCUCGACCGAUCUGUUGAACAUCUCGACAACAGCAUCUACCUCCAUUUUCCCAGCACUUCCCCGAUGAUUGAUGGCACAUGAAUCUUCAUGUUCCUCAUACCAAUCUUGAUAAGCUUGAGGAUCAGAUUUCUUCUUUUCUUUCCACAAGUUACAGCCUUGGCAAAAACUAGAUUUUACGACAGUAUCGAUAACUUUUUUACUGUAUUUACCAAUAAGGGUUGUAACGCCAAAAAGUGAAGUAAACCCUCGCUUCUUCCAGGUGCCAUCUCCAGAAACCGUCAAGUGUUUUGGAUUUUCAUUAGACUCAAAUUCUGAUAAUAAUUCUUGCUCUUCUUUUACAGCUUUUGAUAUUAGCUGAUCGUAAAUUGCACUUGCGGCUGUAUGUAAAUUAUCAAGACAACUGUAGUAGCACACACAAUUAAAGUUGAGAGAGUUUGAAAAACUGAGAAAAAUUCCAGAAGACAGUACCCAAAAUUUUUGUUAAUAACUAUUUCCUCAUCUCCAAACUUUUUUAACUUUGCUGCGGAAGCACUCGUAUAACUACAAUCUUUUUCAGCGGUAAAUUGAUUUGAUGAAAAUCGUUUCUUCUUGUGCCUAUCUAGACGACUACUGCUCCCCCGCGCACUUUUUCUAUCCAUUUUUAAGCAAAUAAAAAAAACAAAAUUUAUUAUUUCACAAAACUAUCCACAGAGCACUUGUCUACUUCGCUUCAAGAUUGAAACUAAACUGAACAGACUAAUAAAUGAUAAACAAUAUCAACAUUAUAACUUUCGCAUUGAACAGUUCCUGGUAUAUUUAGUAUGUAUAUUCCUAGUAUAUUAAGUAUGUAUAAAGGUAUAUAUAGAAGUAUAAAAAUAUAUAUUGAAUAUAUAUGAAGGCUUAUGUCGAAAACAAAAGAGUUCUUGGAAAGAACGAGUGCUCAAGUCUUCCAGGAACUGCCACUGUUUAUUGUGUGAUUCGCGACGAUCGGCCGGUUUAGAUGCUGCGUGACAAAAUCGACUGUAUCUUCGAAAAUAAUUCGAAUUUUGAAAAAUCCAUUUAAGGACAUAUUUUUAAGGGUCUAAACUUGGAAAUUUUGCAAAAAAAAAAUCGAUUUUUUCAAAUUUCUAGACCAGAAUACCCCCUUAAGGGGGUAUUCUGGUCUAGAAGCCUAAAUUUUAGGCAUUUUUCAAACUA